rnacentral:rRNA from 1 species
UUCAACUUGAGAGUUUUGAUCCUGGCUCAGAACGAACGCUGGCGGCAGGCUUAACACAUGCAAGUCGAGCGCAUCCUUCGGGGUGAGCGGCGGACGGGUGAGUAACGCGUGGGAACGUGCCCUCUUCUACGGAAUAGCCCAGGGAAACUUGGAUUAAUGCCGUAUACGCCCGAAAGGGGAAAGAUUUAUCGGAGGAGGAUCGGCCCGCGUUGGAUUAGGUAGUUGGUGAGGUAACGGCUCACCAAGCCGACGAUCCAUAGCUGGUUUGAGAGGAUGAUCAGCCACACUGGG